rnacentral:rRNA from 1 species
AAAGUGAUGCUAAUACCGGAUGAUAUCAGAAGAACUUUGGUUUUUCUGAUCAAAGGUGGCCUCUACAUGUAAGCUACUGUUUGGGGAUGAGCCCGCGUACCAUUAGCUAGUUGGUAGGGUAAAGGCCUACCAAGGCAUCGAUGGUUAGCUGGUCUGAGAGGAUGAUCAGCCACACUGGAACUGACACACGGUCCAGACUCCUACGGGAGGCAGCAGUGAGGAAUUUUGCGCAAUGGGGGAAACCCUGACGCAGCAACGCCGCGUGAGUGAUGAAGGCCUUAGGGUCGUAAAGCUCUGUCAAGCGGGAAGAAAGUUUUAUGUAUUAAUACUACAUAUUAUUGACGGUACCGCUAAAGGAAGCACCGGCUAACUCCGUGCCAGCAGCCGCGGUAAUACGGGGGGUGCAAGCGUUAUUCGGAAUUAUUGGGCGUAAAGGGAGCGCAGGCGGUUUGAUAAGUCAGAUGUGAAAGCCCGGGGCUUGACCCCGGAAGUGCAUUUGAUACUAUUAGACUUGAGUAUGGGAGAGGGUAGUGGAAUUCCUGGUGUAGAGGUGAAAUUCGUAGAUAUCAGGAGGAACACCGGUGGCGAAGGCGACUACCUGGACCAAUACUGACGCUGAGGCUCGAAGGCGUGGGGAGCAAACAGGAUUAGAUACCCUGGUAGUCCACGCAGUAAACGGUGAUCACUAGGUGUAGCGGGUAUUUACCCCUGCUGUGCCGCAGUUAACGCAUUAAGUGAUCCGCCUGGGAAGUACGGCCGCAAGGCUAAAACUCAAAUUGACGGGGGCCCGCACAAGCGGUGGAGCAUGUGGUUUAAUUCGACGCAACGCGAAGAGCCUUACCUGGAUUUGACAUCUUGGGAAUCCUAUCGAAAGACUGGAGUGCCCUUCGGGGAACCCAAAGACAGGUGCUGCAUGGCUGUCGUCAGCUCGUGUCGUGAGAUGUUGGGUUAAGUCCCGCAACGAGCGCAACCCUUAUCUUUAGUUACCAUCAAGUAAUGUUGGGGACUCUAGAGAUACUGCCCCGGUUAACGGGGAGGAAGGUGGGGAUGACGUCAAGUCCUCAUGGCCCUUAUAUCCAGGGCUACACACGUGCUACAAUGGUAUGUACAAAGGGUCGCAAACCCGCGAGGGUGAGCUAAUCUCAGAAAGCAUAUCUCAGUUCGGAUUGGAGUCUGCAACUCGACUCUAUGAAGUUGGAAUCGCUAGUAAUCGCGGAUCAGCAUGCCGCGGUGAUUACGUUCCCGGGCCUUGUACACACCGCCCGUCACACCAUGAGAGUUGGUUGUACCCGACGUCACUGGGCCAACCCCUUCGGGGGGGGCAGGUGCCUAAGGUAUGGCUGAUGAUUGGGGUGAAGUCGUAACAAGGUA